rnacentral:rRNA from 1 species
CGAACGCUGGCGGCGUGCUUAACACAUGCAAGUCGAACGGAAAGGCCCUGCUUUUGUGGGGUGCUCGAGUGGCGAACGGGUGAGUAACACGUGAGUAACCUGCCCUUGACUUUGGGAUAACUUCAGGAAACUGGGGCUAAUACCGGAUAGGAGCUCCUGCUGCAUGGUGGGGGUUGGAAAGUUUCGGCGGUUGGGGAUGGACUCGCGGCUUAUCAGCUUGUUGGUGGGGUAGUGGCUUACCAAGGCUUCGACGGGUAGCCGGCCUGAGAGGGUGACCGGCCACAUUGGGACUGAGAUACGGCCCAGACUCCUACGGGAGGCAGCAGUGGGGAAUAUUGCACAAUGGGCGGAAGCCUGAUGCAGCAACGCCGCGUGCGGGAUGACGGCCUUCGGGUUGUAAACCGCUUUCGCCUGUGACGAAGCGUGAGUGACGGUAAUGGGUAAAGAAGCACCGGCUAACUACGUG